rnacentral:rRNA from 1 species
UACGGAGGGUGCAAGCGUUAUCCGGAAUCACUGGGUUUAAAGGGUGCGUAGGCGGCCUAAUAAGUCAGAGGUGAAAGCCCACAGCUUAACUGUGGAAUUGCCUUUGAUACUGUUGGGCUUGAAUUAGGUUGAGGUUAGCGGAAUGUGACAUGUAGCGGUGAAAUGCAUAGAUAUGUCAUAGAACACCAAUUGCGAAGGCAGCUGGCUAGACCUUAAUUGACGCUGAGGCACGAAAGCGUGGGGAGCGAACAGG